CCGCCCGUAGCUCAACGGUAGAGCACCGUGCUCUUUACACGGGGCAUGGAGGGUUCGAGUCCCUCCCGGCGGCCCA
rnacentral:tRNA from 1 species